rnacentral:rRNA from 1 species
GUGACUACCUACCUUCUAGUGGGGGAUAACUCCGGGAAACCGGAGCUAAUACCGCAUAACAUCGCAAGAUCAAAGCAGCAAUGCGCUGGAAGAGGGGGUCGCGGCUGAUUAGCUUGUUGGCGGGGUAAUGGCCCACCAAGGCAAAGAUCGGUAUCCGGCCUGAGAGGGCGCACGGACACACUGGAACUGAAACACGGUCCAGACUCCUACGGGAGGCAGCAGUGGGGAAUUUUGCGCAAUGGGGGAAACCCUGACGCAGCAACGCCGCGUGGAGGAUGAAGUCCCUUGGGACGUAAACUCCUUUCGACCAAGACGAUAAUGACGGUACUGGUGGAAGAAGCACCGGCUAACUCUGUGCCAGCAGCCGCGGUAAUACAGAGGGUGCGAGCGUUGUUCGGAAUUAUUGGGCGUAAAGGGCGCGUAGGCGGCGCCACAAGUCACUUGUGAAAACUCUGGGCUCAACUCAGAGCCUGCAAGCGAAACUGUGGUGCUGGAGUAUGGGAGAGGUGCGUGGAAUU